UCAGCUCGUGUUGUGAAAUGUUGGGUUAAGUCCCGCAACGAGCGCAACCCUUAUCCUUUGUUGCCAGCGGUCCGGCCGGGAACUCAAAGGAGACUGCCAGUGAUAAACUGGAGGAAGGUGGGGAUGACGUCAAGUCAUCAUGGCCCUUACGACCAGGGCUACACACGUGCUACAAUGGCGCAUACAAAGAGAAGCGACCUCGCGAGAGCAAGCGGACCUCAUAAAGUGCGUCGUAGUCCGGAUUGGAGUCUGCAACUCGACUCCAUGAAGUCGGAAUCGCUAGUAAUCGUGGAUCAGAAUGCCACGGUGAAUACGUUCCCGGGCCUUGUACACACCGCCCGUCACACCAUGGGAGUGGGUUGCAAAAGAAGUAGGUAGCUUAACCUUCGGGAGGGCGCUUACCACUUUGUGAUUCAUGACUGGGGUGAAGUCGUAACAA
rnacentral:rRNA from 1 species